GCCAUGGCCACGGCCGCUCCUCCCCCGGCAGGACCCGGCACUUGCAUAACACACACAGCGCUGGGAGGAGCUCGGCACGGCCCGUCAGGGGCAGUACCAUUGAUACUUGUUUGUCUCCCUCCUUGCAAGCAGAGAGAGCUUCGAAAGAUUCGGGUGUCGCCUUUCCACAAAGGGCUUUGAGAAGGACAUGGUAUCAUUACUGACAUCUUACAGAGAGGACACACAUAUUACCCUCAGGAUACACAGAAGUCAGCUGUGCUGAGUGAAACUGUGCUUCUGUAAGAGACGUAUGAAGAGGGAGAAGAACAGACCUUGCUUCCUUUCAGUUACAAGAAGGUCUGGGAUUCACACCUGUUGUUUCCAGAACCAAGUCUUACCCAACCCUACUACCCUGCUUUGCUACCUUAACUCUUCACAAAGUCUCUGCAGGUAGACACAGGUAAGAACAGUACUGACACCACUUAUUCCAAUUCUUCUGCACAUUUCCAAGGGGAAUGGACAACUUACCAGAUCUUGUCUUUCUGUCAUACUCAUCUUCUCAACUAUGGACCAAAACCAACGCUUGAACUGCAAAAGCUUCUCAGCAUUUUCUCCUGUGUGAAACAACAAGGUACACAAUUCAGCUGCUACACUGGACAAUAACACUAACAAACCUGUUUUACAUGUGCUACAAGUUGGAUCUCAGCUACAAUCACAUUCAUAAAGUCCUGAUACUGGAGACUAGUAAUUUCAAAAUUAACAGCUUUGAAUGCAAGGCCAACACUGACAUAACUCAGUACCACUCCCACUCUGCCCUUCUUACCAAAAAGCCCAACUGCAACUAAGCACAGUUUAAAAAUUAUGUAUGAAGUAUUAAACUUGCAUCCAUCACUUAUCGUUUUAGAGAAUUUUCACAAGGAAGAUAUACUACCAGUAAUACAAUCUGUGCAUUUAACAUCUAGUGACAGCUUUCUCCACCCUCACUUACCUGAAGGAAAAUAUUUUCUAAGGAAUGUAAAAAAAUAUCCCAAGUAAUAACUUUACUACAGGUUUCACUAGCUUAUUAACUAAUGUCAGACUUAAUAGUUCAAGUUUAAUGCUAGUAACUACUACACACAGAAAAAACAGUGUUAAGUUAUACCUGCAAUUCUGUUUAUGACUAAGUUAUUUCAUACCUGAUUCAUCAUUGAAAGACGUAAAGCUGAUUAGCAUUUGCACAUUUACUUCACCACAGCCAUUUACCAGGAGUCUGAAAUCUUCUGCUGUCAAAUCUUCUAAUGAAUUCUUUGGAAGUACAUCCAGGAGCCCCUUCCUCAUUGCCUUAAGUGAAAACCACAAAAUGCAGAUUGUAACUGUGUAACUUUUAAGAUUGACUUUAAACACAUUACUCUAAGUUUCAUGUGAAAUUCCCAUUAACUCAAGAUUCAUUAUUCUCUGAGCUGUUCUUUUAAAGCUUUAUCAUCUGAGAUGCAAAUCUUCUGAAACAAAGAACUGCACCAAUUUUUAAACCCUACCUACUAGAGCAAAAGAAAGCAGUACUGGUUUGAGCUAGUAUUUCACCAGGAGCAGAAGAAAAUGUUCAGGUAUUUUGCUAAGCUGCACUGAAUUUUAUGAGAAUUUUUUUAAAAAUGCAUCUUGCAUAUUCCUUUUACUUUGCUUCCUCAGACACACCCCAACUCUGCUUCAAAAAUAUUACACACACAGACACACAUAUAUUCCAUAUAAGUAAUAUCUAAAAACGACAGGAAAUUCCAUAUUCAAAAUGGAAUACUAUAAAUCAAUUUGCUUUAGAAAAUUUCAAAAUGAAUACAAGUAUAAGGGUUUUUAACUUUUAAAAUAAACAAGAGUUAAAUUAGUAAUAUAUGCAGACAUGGAGAUCAAGUAUAUUAAUUCCAGGAACAACGUUCUUUCUGUGAGAAUCUGGACCUCAGCUGCACAGAGGUAAUCUGGCCUGCUACCCUUCCUCAGAUGUGAAGCAGGAAACCACAAUGAGCACAAGCAACAAAGUUUAGAUGUAGCAUCAUAUGACAGACUGGCCUUCAUUAACUGUCUACAAAAAUAUAUUAUUCUGUAAGUGCUAUUUGACAAGGGCUUAUAAAAAGCACAAAACUUUUAAUAUGGUUUUCGAGUCAAUUUUUACGUUUCUUGCCAGGCUAGUAUAAGUGGUUUUACAAAUGAUUUUUCCUUAGAACAAGGAUGCCAACAAAUCAAAGGUAAUAAAUUAUUAUGAACAAAGUAGCUGCCAAAUACAAAGCCAAAAUUCCAAGAGGAUUUGUGCCAUUUGAGCUCAAGAAAUAAACAUAUAUAUUUAACCAAUGAGACCCACAAUAAAAUAAAUUAUCUUUCAUUCUAUAAAAUAAAUUACUCACUCAGCGUCUUCACAGUACUACAUAAACAGCUAUACAAUUACAAAAAGAAAUUAAAUACUUUUAAUCAGGCUGUCAAGACUUUAAAGGAACCUGAUUAACAACACCACAAUGAGGAGAAUAAUUAACUGAUGGAAAUAUUACAGAUUUUAUUUUUCUUCUUCUUAAAAAAACUCCUCUAAAGACUUACAUGUAGAGGCUGCUCUGCUACUACCAACAUUCGGUGUUCCGCGUAUUUCCGGACAUACUCAUAUACAUUCUGAGGAGUGACUGGUAUAUUUACACCAUUGGAAAUAAGUUCAACCUAUGGCAAAGAAAUAAGGAACAUUUAAAAAGGGGGAAAAGAAAAAAGACAUAAAGGAAAUGAGAUUAUUACAACCACCACAGUAGGCUGCAGAGUGAUUUAUUGCUCAACAUACCUCCAAACCCAAGUAAGAUUCACUACUACAGGUUAGUUUUAAAGAUUCCCUAGGAUUGACUACAGUUACCAGGGUCUAUGGUAGGCUUUAUACGGUUUUCAAAGAAAAAAAAUCCAGGCUUCAAUAUCUAAGAACACUGCACUGAAUCCAGAAGAGUAAAAUGUUUUAUCUGCCAUGUGAGAAGAGCCUGGAUUAUGUGCAUCGGACACCCAUAAGCUGUCAAACUCUGAAACUACAGAGGCACAAGUUUUGCUGUGCUUACCUGCCCUCCACCCUCCUCCUUACACAGGUCUAUUGCAAAGGCCAAAUCCAUUGCUGCAAACACUGCAUCAGCAUCUGUACUCUGGGAUGCGAGGAUAAGCUGCCGAAGGCUUUCAUACAUAA